CAGCCGCCGCGGUAAUACGUAGGGUGCAAGCGUUAAUCGGAAUUACUGGGCGUAAAGCGUGCGCAGGCGGUUAUAUAAGACAGAUGUGAAAUCCCCGGGCUCAACCUGGGAACUGCAUUUGUGACUGUAUAGCUAGAGUACGGCAGAGGGGGAUGGAAUUCCGCGUGUAGCAGUGAAAUGCGUAGAUAUGCGGAGGAACACCGAUGGCGAAGGCAAUCCCCUGGGCCUGUACUGACGCUCAUGCACGAAAGCGUGGGGAGCAAACAGGAUUAGAUACCCGAGUAGUCCCUGUUCUCUUAUA
rnacentral:rRNA from 1 species